UGAGUAACGCGUAUGCGACCUGCCCGUUGCAGGGGGAUAAUCGGGAGAAAUCCCGUCUAAUACCGCGUAACGCCGCGGGGCUGCAUGGCCCUGCGGCCAAAGGGAGCGAUUCCGGCAACGGAUGGGCAUGCGUGACAUUAGCUAGUUAGCGGGGCAACGGCCCACCAAGGCGACGAUGUCUAGGGGUUCUGAGAGGAAGGUCCCCCACACUGGUACUGAGACACGGACCAGACUCCUACGGAAGGCAGCAG
rnacentral:rRNA from 1 species